UCCCCCCCCCAAACCUCUUAUAGUUCUGACCAGACUUUCUUACUUUCCACCUCACCAUAUGCAUGCUCAUGUUGCUACCUACGCACUUUGUUUCCAUCAGUGCUUUAUACAUGCAAGCCUAGCCGAGCCAGGAAGUAGCUGGUGGUGACAUUUCCGAGCAAAUGGUUCCUAAAGUGUGGGGUGGGCCCUCCAAGGGGGGCCUGAAGUUAGAGCAAGGGGCCGGGGUUGAGGAUGAGAACACUAAACAACGAACAGAGAACAUUCAUCAUUCAUUAUUAAUACAACAGAUAUGCAGCUAACAUGAACUGAUCCAAAGAAUAGAAUUAUAUAUAGCCAAUCAUAAAACCAUACUUGAUCCAGACACAUUUUAACCGUUUUAAAAACAAGCUCUGAUCAAAUAAAAUAUAAAAAAUGUUUAACUUAUAAAACAUUUGAUGAAAUUCAAAUAUAGGAAAAACUGCAACAGCUGUUAAACAGGUAAUAGACUUAAAAUAAUUCAUGAACUUAAAUUAACUUCAUCAUCACAACCAUUUUGACUCCCUAUUGCUCCUCCUACUUAUUUCGGCUACUUCAAACUCUUCAACAUGUAAAUAUGUGGAUAUGCUGGAAGACCUAUUUGUUGGUGAUUUUCUGUGGGGAGUUCUGUUCUUCUGAAAACCAUUUUACACCAAAGGAAAAGGAAGUUUCAGGACUUCAGGGAGGAUACAUUAUGUUUCCAGUGCCAGUCUCUCAAUAUGGUAAUAUGAGGAUUGAAGGAGGAGAGACCCUUGCAACUGUCUUUGGAGGUCGGGUUAGAAUUGAAAAGAAGCCUAGGUUUAAGAGUCGCCUGCGCUGGGACAGUCAGACUGGACACUUCUCUCUUCAUAACUUGACAAUUGCUGACUCGGGCAGUUAUGUCAUAGAGAACACUGAGGGCUUAAGAGGAAACUAUAAUGUUAAGCUGACUGUGUAUGGUAAGUGUUCAUUUCUUAAAUACACUCACAGUUAUACUUAUAUGCUCUCUAAAGUCUAUCCUUAACACAGAAUAAAUCUUCUUAUAUUGGGUGAAAGGCA
rnacentral:lncRNA from 1 species